UACGUAGGGGGCAAGCGUUGUCCGGAUUUAUUGGGCGUAAAGAGCGUGUAGGCGGCUUUACAGGUCCGUUGUGAAAACUCGAGGCUCAACCUCGAGACGCCGGUGGAAACCGUAAGGCUAGAGUCCGGAAGAGGAGAGUGGAAUUCCUGGUGUAGCGGUGAAAUGCGCAGAUAUCAGGAGGAACACCCGUGGCGAAAGCGGCUCUCUGGGACGGUACUGACGCUGAGGAACGAAAGCCAGGGGAGCGAAAGGG
rnacentral:rRNA from 1 species